CAACAAAAAACCACUGGUCGUGACGCUCAGAGAUCACUCGCAAUAGUCAGGAGUUAACAGAAAGUGUGUGCACCCAAAUUGUCUACCAUCCUUCUAUAAAAACUGGCUGCUUUUAAAGGUUUGUCUAUUAAAAUGCUAUCAUGUUUUGCUUUGUUUGGUUUCCUUUUAAAGACAGUUGUUUAGGUGAUGUGUGAGGGAUUAAAAAGCCACCCCUGAGAUAAAGCUGACCUGCUUGCAGGAAAGCCACGAUGGAAGGCGGAAGUAUAGAUGAUGGAGGAUUUACGGAGAAUGCGCAGACACAGAUGUGACGUGGAGGGGAGGGCGACUCAGGCCCUUCCUCGCAAAGACUCAUCUAACUGUCGGGGCAACUGUGGGUGCUGCCAUGUCGGAUGAGACGACUGGGGAGUGAGAGGCAGGAAAGCAGCCGAAAGGCCGGGGGGCAGUGUUCUCCAAGGCCUCUCAGAAAAGACAGGAGAGCUUCUCUACACCCCGCUCUCCAGUGGGGAAGCCUGCUUACUUAUAACGGACCCAACAGUAAAUGCAGUCCCCACCACUCUUGGCCAUUGUCAGAAGGGAUAGGUCUGAGGGUCCGGGCAAGAGCAGACCGACGGCCUGGAGAGAGCUUUUGGGCUUGAACUGGAACAUUGGCUCUCCUUGGGUCUGGAGCCUGACAGUUUUCAGAGUGGGACUUACACCGUUGGAUGUCCUGGUCCUCAGCCUUCACACUUCAGCUGGAACUUCACCACUGGCUCUCCUGGGUCUCCAACUCGCUGACUCUAAAUCUUGGGAGUUCUCAGCCUCCAUAAUCAUAAGAUCCAGUUCCUUUUUCAAAUACUUUAUAAAUGUGUCGCACAUUGCAAAGAUGGUGGGAAGCUUCCAGAGGUGCCGAGUCUUGGGCUCCUGGCAAAUCCUGGUGGUAACAUGCCUUCUGACUGUCAAGCUGGGGAUUUCCUUUCUGAUCGUUCCAUGUGGAGGAACAUUUUAUACACUUACAAAGUUCUUCCUGCGCACAUGGUUGGACUCUGCAGCUGAGCCACCACAUCAUCUGGUCCAUAGGGCUCCAUCUGCAGAGAAUGUCAUCCAAUUGGGCAAGAAGUCUUCUGUCCUAGGACUUCUCUGAUUGGAGCUUGAGGUCACCUGGCUGAAGCUGGUACCAUGAUGGACCUGCCUGGUGGCAGCUGGAGCCAGGAAGGGGAUGUAACUGCUAUGGGACAUGCCACUCGAGACAGAGAGGUGAAGGAGAAAUUUCCUGGACUUUCCUUUCAUCUGGGGAGCUCCAGGCUCCUUUUAAUAUCUUUAAUAUGCUCACGCCAGCCAGAAACGCAGUCUGUAGGAAUCCCUCCCAGCCGUACGGGGCAGACCAAGGUAACUGCAAGCAAUGGAUCUGAGGACAAAUUGGCCCAGGACUGGCACACCUUCCCUUUGGAUAAAAUGAUAAAUCUGAUGGUUUUCUUUG
rnacentral:lncRNA from 1 species